CUGUCGUCAGCUCGUGUCGUGAGAUGUUGGGUUAAGUCCGCAACGAGCGCACCCUCGCUGCCAGUUGCCAACGGGUGAAGCCGGGCACUCUGGCGGGACUGCCAUCGACAAGAUGGAGGAAGGUGGGGAGUGACGUCAAGUCAUCAUGGCCCUUAUGUCCAGGGCGACACACGUGCUACAAUGGCCGGCACAGCGGGAAGCGAGGCAGUGAUGCCGAGCGGAUCCCUUAAAGCCGGUCUCAGUUCGGAUUGAAGUCUGCAACUCGACUUCAUGAAGCUGGAAUCGCUAGUAAUCGCAGAUCAGCCAAGCUGCGGUGAAUACGUUCCCGGGCCUU
rnacentral:rRNA from 1 species